CAAUAGCGUAUAUUUAAGUUGUUGCAGUUAAAAGCUCGUAGUUGGAUUUCGGUUGAGAGCGGCCGGUCCGCCGUUUGGUGUGCACUGGCUGGUCUCAGCUUCCUGCGGAGGACGCACUCUGGGGCUAACGCUUCGGAUGUGGAGUCCGCGUGGUUACUUUGAAAAAUUAGAGUGUUCAAAGCGGGCUUACGCUUGCAUACUUCAGCAUGGAAUAACACUAUAGGACUCCUGUCCUAUUUCGUUGGUCUCGGGACGGGAGUAAUGAUUAAGAGGAACAGUUGGGGGCAUUCGUAUGAAAGUGCUAGAGGUGAAAUUCUUGGAUUUCUUUCAGACGAACUUCUGCGAAAGCAUUUGCCAAGGAUGUUUUCAUUAAUCAAGAACGAAAGUUGGGGGCUCAAAGACGAUUAGAUACCAU
rnacentral:rRNA from 1 species